rnacentral:rRNA from 1 species
CCUACGGGAGGCAGCAGUAGGGAAUCUUCCACAAUGGGCGAAAGCCUGAUGGAGCAACGCCGCGUGGGUGAAGAAGGUCUUCGGAUCGUAAAACCCUGUUGUUAGAGAAGAAAGUGCGUGAGAGUAACUGUUCACGUUUCGCCGGUAUCUAACCAGAAAGCCACGGCUAACUACGUGCCAG